CAGUCGAGCAAUUUGAGAGGCUGCUGUCACGCACCCUGAGCAUAGAAGCGACCAGCCGUGCGCCUUCCUUAUGCGCGCGGACAGCAGGCACGGGUUCAGCACCGCACUGAGCUGGACAGGAUGCUGACGGAUAGAUGGAAACAGACCAGACAUAGAGACAGAGGGUCCACCCGUACAGCAAGUGCGUAAAGGGGAGAAGUAUUUGCCGGUACUCUAGGGCUGCAUCCCUGUCUUUAGAGGGGACAGCAUGGGCAGAACUGUUAUCCUAAAAAUGCUAGUCACAAAAAUUCGAUCCUAAACAAGGGGGAAUUCGCGGAAAAGUGCCAACGAAGGAUUUGACUGGCUUGUCGGUGAUUUGUUUUAUAGCCUAGCACUUUGAUAAGUUGCUCGGGAGAAUGGAAAAGCCCAUCCAGCCUCAGCUGCAGUCGAGCAUAUCCAAGAGCGCAGAAGGUCCCUCAGAGGAUCUCUCCAAACUUACGGAUGAGGAGCUUCUGAAAUGGAGCAAGGAGGAGCUGGUUCGCCGGCUGCGCAAAGCCGAAACCGAGAAGAUGAGCGUUAUAGUGGACCACAGCAAUCUCAUCCGAGAGGUGAACCGCAGGCUGCAGCAGCACCUCAACGAGAUACGAGGACUGAAGGAUGUGAAUCAGAAGCUUCAAGAAGACAACCAGGAGCUGCGGGACCUUUGCUGCUUUCUGGAUGACGACCGGCAAAAAGGAAAGAAGGUGUCGAGGGAGUGGCAGCGUUUGGGCCGCUACAGCGCAGGGAUCAUGCGUAAGGAGGUGACUCUGUACCUGCAGAAGCUGAAAGAGCUGGAGCAGAGGCAGGAGGAAGUAGUGAGGGAGAACCUUGAACUGAGAGAGCUGUGCCUUAUGCUGGAUGAGGAGAAGGGCUCUGGAGGCACUGGCAGGUCAGCAGGUACCGGGGGACCAGCCGGAUGCAGGAAUUCAAUCGAUAGCCAGAGCAGCCUGUCUCACGCCAGCGGUCCUGGGCCUGGCCUACUAAGGGAUGUAGGUGACGGGAGCAGUACCUCCAGCGCGGGCAGCACCGACAGCCCUGACCAUCUCACACAUAAGCAGCAGCUGUUGGGUGGCCCGGUUGGAGGCAGUCCUGACCACCUACAUAAGCCAGGCUCAGGGGAGGAGGCACCGGGUCCUGAGCAUGCAAGCCGCAGACAUAGCACCAGCCAGGAGUACACAGCACACACCUAUCCCCAAGUGUGCCGGUCUCGCUGUGGGUCCUUCUCCAGUCCAGAUCAUAAGGGCCUACGGGGUCUCAGUCCAGAGAAACUUGGCAAGAGCCUGUCGAGAGGCAGUCCAGAGCAGUUCUCAAAACACUUGCUGGUGUCCUCUCAGCCACCUGGCAGCCCAGACCUUUUCCAGAAGCACAGGGCUAGCAUGGGUAGUAUGUGUGGGAGUCCAGAGCCCAAACAGAUUCUAUCAGGGACACCGGAGCACCUACAGAAGGGACGUGUCAUAUCUGGGAGCCCAGAGUUGUCGAGGCAUCAACACAGCAAGUUUGGCAGCACUGGCCGAGAGGUGGCACAGAAGCGGCCGGGCGUAGAGGAGAUGUCCCCUCAUCACCGGAGCAUCUAUAGCGGUAUGAAUGGUGGGUCCGACUGGAGCCUGCUGUAGCACCCACAGAGAGAUAUGGAGUCCCAUUUGAAUGCACAUGCAGAAGGGAUGGUCAUCCUUCAUUCUGGAGCCAGCAAAGCCCCAAUUCCCAGCCAGGCACUAAACCAUCCCAUUCAGCCAGCCAUGAUCUGCAUUUAGUCUAGUUUUACUUUUUUCUCAGUUCAGGAAAGGCAAUGGCCAGAUAGAGCAGGGGCUUUAGUGUCUGGCUAGAGCAGAACAUCUCAUCUCUGGUAAAGGUCGGUGGUGUCCAGUCUUGGUCCUCUUGGGCCAUGAUUUUAACAGGCUUUAACUGCCUCCUAUCAAUCAGCCUCUGUACCUGUGCCUCCGAAGCCAUUUUUUUAUGCUCUGGAACCCAGCUGAGGGAACACUGUAAUCAAUCAAUCAAUCAAUCAAAGACCAAAAUGCUCAGAGGCCCAACAAAAGCCAGAAGACAGUGCUGCCCAGCAGGACCAGGAGUGGACACCAUUGUAUUUGCCAUAUGCACGCAGCUCUGAUAUCGGCUGGCUGUUGCAGCAGCACCUGUAGAAGUGUCAAGCUUUGGGAUAGUUUUGAUGCCUCCUGACCAUUGCCUCAACUGGAUCUGGAUCCAGCGGUGGGAACCGGGCCAUGAAAGAGGAUCCCUGUUGCUUUCAUUUAACUUGCACUGACAGAAAUGGAAGGCGAGGAUGAAAAAGUGUGAUUGAAGAACAAUAGCUUUUUUGGAGCAGCCAGUGUCUCUCGUCCCCCUCCCUCACCACGCUGGUUCCUGCUGGUCUCCCAAUACAACUUGCAGCCCUGCACAACCGAGGUCUGGAGGAGGGAUUCCUUAGGAUACAAACAGCUGGAAAUAACACGAUUGCCAAAAGGAUUUCUCAAAUGGGAGAUAUAAUCAUCUCUCUUUUGCCAACAAAAUAGACCUACCUCCUUUGAACGAAAGCAGACGAAACAAAAAAGUUUGAAAUGGGACUGAGAGGCUAUGACCCAAAUUGUUUACAGUCACCACAGAACACACAAUCAAUCCUCACUGAAAAAAAUCUUAAUCAUUAUUUUGUAUUGUUUUCCAGUAAAGAAUCUAAACAUCCUUUAAAUGUACUCAAGAAGCAAAACUGCAUUAGAUUGUUAAAUAUUUAUUUUUUAAAUUACUUUAAUUUUUCUUACUCCUUUUAGAAUUUAGUUUUAAGCAUAAACCUUACUAAAUGUUAGAUUUAUGCUUAAAACUUCAUAAAAUAUACAAUAUAAAAAGAUUAAACAAUACAAAAUUAUUAUUAUACACAAAAUUAACACAAAAUUAAAUUAUACACAAAAUUAGCCUAAAUUGCACCAGAUAUUAUACCACCUGAUUUUAGGGAUUAUUAAAAAACUUAAUUCAAGAUAUUCUGCUCAUUUAAGGAUGUCUAGAUAUUUUUACUAAAGAGCAAUUAGAUAAAAAUAGUGAUUAAAAUUAUAUUUUGCAGUGUGCCAAAAUUUUUUGGUAGCACUUUAUUUUACAGUCCUGUUUCGCAUGAACAUACUAUGUACUUAUUGUAGUAAUGACACUAACUAGGUACUAACCCUGAACCUACCCCUUAACCUUAACUUAACCCAUGUAGUUACCUUACACGACUCAGUACUUUUGUAGGUAAGUACACUGUAAGUUCAUUAAAAGUGCACAUACUGUAAAAUAAAGUGCAACCAAUUUUGCACACACAGGCAAUGCCUUUAAGAACAAGGGCAUUUCUUAAGCUGUGUUAAGUUAAAGAGCAAUACUGAAUGUCAGUGGCUCGUAAGUUUCAAGUUUUAGCCGAUAAUGACAUCACUGCCUGGCUUUCAUUAAGACCUGUGUGAUGACCGUUUAUUUAUUAUGUUGACUAUGGCCAUGUGUAAAGUAUGGUAGUUAAACACAUAACUAUCUAUAGUCGCUAAAGUCAAAAGUCAAAGCGGGAGCCCCUCUUGACUCUCAAGAUCCCAUUACUGAUCUUUUCGUAGAUGCAGUGUUGUGUGAUGUGAAAGAAGCACAUAGAAAGCUGCUGCUGCACCCGAGACUUGUGUAGCCAGACGCUUUAGGCUUCCAUUGUGUCGAGUCCUCUCGCGUCUGGUGUUUCUGCCCUCACUGCUGCCGAAAUCAAGCGGCCCAUUCACAUAUCCUGACCAUCAAUGCUUUUGCCAAACCCAUUUUAUGGUUCACCAAUGAAAUGGGAUUUCUUUUCUCCGUCUGUCUGUUGAUUCAAAAGGAAGGGCGGCCCUUGGUCUCUGUUAGAGCCCUGAAUUGCUUGGUUUCAGUAGAAAAAGCAUUCUCUGUUUUUGGACCAUAACUGCGAGGUGAAAAUCAGAGACUUGUCAUCCCACUGGACUAUAUAAACCAUCAUGCCUCUCUUCUUACCAGGUAUUUCACUGAACCUCAAACCACACAUACACACACACACACACACACACAUUUGUUCCCUGUAUUGUUGCGUUUCAUUUGAGAGGACUUCAUAGUUUCUAUUUGUUUCCUCACUGAACGUAACACACGUCGCAAACCAUCCAUCCUCCUGUAUACCGUCAGUAUUAAAAACAGCAAAAGCUACUUGAUAAGCUCAUUAACCUGUGACUUUUUUAUUUUUGUUGACAGAUUAUGAAACAGAACAAAUAUUAAUAUAUAAAACGUUUAUGUUUUUAAAAAGUAAAGAGUAGUUUAAGGCUUAGUUUUUUAUAUAAUAACUAUAAUUAUUAUUUUUGACGUACUGGUAUUAUUGAAUCUAUAAAUAUUAUACUAAGAGAUGUAUGUAAAAGACAAUAAAGUCAUCUUUAUGUAAAAAA